UCUGGGACCGCUAUUCAAAGCUCCCAGUGUUAAGUGCUAGUGCGUUUUGCAUUAGGCCUCAUUUGCUGGCACUUUGAUGCCACAUUGCUGCAGGGUCGAAUGGGGGAAUUUUAAAGAAACCCAGGUGUCUUGGCUAAAACUGGGCAUUUAGCUUGUGAGAGCCCAAGGGGUUGUUAAUACACUAUGGAUAGAAAUGGUUAAUGGUGCCCUUCAAAGAGGAGGUGAGCGGAGCUGUUUGUUGGAUAGGAUUUAGAUGAUUCCCCACGUGUGGUUACAAAGCCAGCCACGCUGGGCUAAUGUCCCAGAGCUAGAAAGGGACACGAAUCGAAGAGCACUGUCCGAGCUAAAGGAAAUGCAAAAUGCAAGCUGCUAGCAGUGCUAGUGAGAGAGGGUCCCACUCCAGCAAACCCUUGCUAUAUCUGAGCCCAUGCAGGUGCAGUUGCCCAUGGACAAAACUUGCCUGUUACAGAAACCAAGUUAGUUCUUUAUGCAGGUAAGUUUCAUUGGCUUGUGUGUGGCUCAUGUGAAUUGAGUUCUUAUUUCCGUGGAUCUGGGUUGAAAAUAAAAAAAUGGCUUUCUUUAAAGUCUCCUGUUUGCUCUUGCUUCAGCUUACUGGGUUUGCAGACUGAGCUCUAAUAGAGCCCUUUGAUCUGGUUUGAAGGGUUAUAAAAGCCCAAACAUCCAAGGUCAACUGCCCCUCAAUCCAUCCUUGAAAGCCUGAGCGGCUGUGCCCCAAGGGAUCCUCAUUCUGGAGGCUGUUGGCAUUUUCAUUCCAUUUCGCCUGUGUAUUCUGUCGACGGUUUCCCAUUUAAUUCAAUGCAGUGAUAGAACUGGUAGCUCUUGUAUGAAAUAGAAUAAGCAGACUGCAACCAGAAACCUAAUUUUUAAAUGACUUUAUUUACAAUAACUGAUAAUUAAACAUUGAAUAAAGCUGAUGCUAUAACAGCAGAAAGCAAGAGUAGUCAAGCAGCUAAAGAACUAUGCCUCAUUUCAAAUACAGGAAAAAUAUGCAAAACGAGUCACUCUUCAAAAAUAACAUUUAUGUUAAGACAAAAGUGCUCUCUAAAUGCCUCAUUGCAAAUUAGAGCUAUUAAAUGCAAGAUUGAUCAAUUUUCCAUCUUUCAGUGCAUUCUCUCCAUUUUCCCUGAUUGGGGGAAACCUAAUAAUGAGAUUUUUUUUCCAUAAUAUAAUAUGAAUUCAACUUUAAGUAGGAUCAGUUAAAAUAAAAUGGUUUUCUAGCAAAGCCAAAAUACAAAUCCAUGCCUUAGGGGGGUUUUGGAUAAUUUUUUUAAAAUGACAAAAUUGCUUUCUACUAUGGGAUUUUUUUAAAAAAGAAAUUAACACAUGAAACACUUUUUAAAAGGAAAUAAUUAGGAUCUGCAGUGACUGAUUCGCUUCUCAUUACCAUAAAGCAAGAGUAACUUUGUUGGCGUCACUAGCAGUAACCAAAAAUGGGGAGGAAGUCAGACUGCAAUAUUCUCUCAUUUUUUUCAUGUUUCCCCCUCCUUUUUUUAAUAGGGAGGAAAUAAUGGCUUCACUAAAUUCAAUGUAACCAGGCAGCAGACACAGUAAUAGGGGGUACUGACAACACAUUACUAGCUUUAAAACAAUUUUUCCUCCUAGCUAGAAAGCUGUGACAGUGAUGUAACCUAAAGCUGCCCCUGUUUCAGUGACUGAGUUACAGGCUAUAGCCACACGUAGGCCCCCCAGGGCUGCUACUGAAGCUAUUUAAUCGGCACUGCCCCACUUCCAUCCAUGCGUUUCUAAUAAAGCAUUGUUGCCAUGUGAGCAGGGUGCACAUUAGCGCUUCUGAGGUGUUGGAAGAUGGUUCAGAAGUGCUGCUGAAGAACUCAAUCUGCAAAAACAAUGAGGAGUCCUGUGGCACCUUAAAGACUAAGGUUUAUUUGGUCAUAAGCUUUUGUGGGUAAAACUCACUUUGUUAAAUGCAACUGGCUAUUUUUUCUCAUUCCCAAAUGGAGAAUAUGCUUUGGGCUCUUGAUCCAUGGUUUGUUUUUUCUUUUAAAGCUAGGGUACUGCCAGCAAGAUGACCAGACACACCCAGGAUUUCAGAGUAUCCCCUUCACACUGGCGUAAAUCCAACAUCACUGUACUUCAGUGGAGUUACUCCAGGUUUUCUUGGUGACCCAGCACUGUCCAUCAUUGGGGCUAUGAUGCUACAGAAUGAAUGAAGCCUGAGUCAUCAGUACUUCCAACAGGUGAACUCCAUAACUGUUAUUCACCCCUGGUGCAGAGCCAUCCCUGAGAGCAAUGGUGGAAGCCUCAAUGCAGACAGGCUUCUGGGGUGAUUACCCUUGUCACACCCUGUCUGCAUUAUGGUUUUCCUCUGCAGGAGUGCACAAGGGAUGAGCUAUAGCUAUGGAGCUGCUAGCAUAGACAAGGCCUCAGACUUCCAUACCAUGCAUCUGGUCCCCCCUAAGAUUGCAGAUGUGGGUUUUCCUUGGAUUCUGAGCAUGAAAAUAUAUAUUCAUUUCCUUUGGAUGAAGAGGAAAUUGGGGGCUAGAUUGUGCCAUCAUUAUUACUCUGCACAUUUGUGAGCCUUGCUUCUGCUCUGAAGUGCUUUACUAACGAAAGGAUGAAACUGUGACCUAAUUCUCUGCCUAGGUUGGUACAAGUCUAAGAAUUUAGGGUAUUUCACACAUUUCCUUUUCCAGGCAGACCCAGACACUUUUAAAGGUGACUUAAAGGGGGAAACAGAUUUGAACACUACUGGCCCUGAAAGAAGUUUUGGGAAGGUGGGGAGAGGGAGUUGUUUUUAAACCCUUCAAAAAGGUUAGUCAGCUGAUUGCUUUAUAAGGAAUGUCAAACAUACUUUCUCUUUUUCAGGUCUGUGGAUUGAGAACUCUCUGAAUUUUUAAUGAAAGUUAAGUGUGUGAUGAAUUUUAAGAGCUUUUCUUUCAGUUGUUUGAGGCAUUAAACAGUCUCAUUAGAAAUAAUUUCCCCUCAAUCAAGUUACAGGUGCAUAAUUUCUUACAUAGUCUCAUGCAAUCUCCAGUCUUGCAUAAAGUUGCUCAGGAGGAACAGGCCAGACAAAACCUUAAUUUAUAAUGUAAAAAAUGAGCAGUCAAAUAAAUGCAAAAGGAAUCCAAACCAGCCAUCUUUCAGGCAUUCCCUUUACAUCAUAAAGAAGGAAGAAGUGGUAAAAACAGUGCUUUCUGUCCUUUCAGUGCUCCUUUAAAAACCACAAUCAGUUAACUUCUUAAGAGUCCCACCACAAUUUCUAGUAAUGUUAGAAACCAUUACACCUCAGUCCACUCUUAGUACAGUGUUUGGGGCCACUCGAGUAGACUCUGAUGGUACUUUGUAUAAGAAAAGGGAAACCAACAGAGCAGAUUUACUUACAUCCUUAGGAUUAGUUCCUCUAUUUAUUCCACUGUGUUCUCACUUACAAACAGGUUUUAAAAAGUCCAACCCCCACCUAAAAAAUCCAUGCAGGAGCAGACAGUUAAGUCAUGUCUUCUGGAAGAGAAAACAGCCAGCGUGCGCUUGUGUUCUGUUACAAAACAGCUGCCUUUCACCCUAGAAUCUGAAUUUCAAAUUUUUAAAUUAAAACGAUGGCCAAGUGGAGUAUAGACACAGGAGAGUGUUUCUUAGGUUUAAAAAAACCAAAAUGUGCAAAUUUUCAUUAUGUGCAUAUAAACAUUGAUUAGGGUAGUGUGGGUGCUUUUACCCAAAUGGCCCUAGUGAAAAUAUCCUUAGUCAGUCACUUUGAUUCAUUGCUUGUUAAUUCAAGAUGUCUUUGUCUACUGGGGAUGUGAACUUUUAACUGGUCACCCUUAAGAGCUGGUGCUUACCAGGCAAUGGUUAACCAUUCCCUGGGAGCAGACCCCACCCAGGGGCAGAAAGCUGCUCCAAUAGCACUUUUCCCCCCACUGCCACAGGGCUGCAGACUCUCAUGAGUUGGGAGCUAGCAGGUCCUUCCCCACUUCCACCCCACACAAGGGUGGAGCUGCCCCUGGUGCAGGGGUCACCCCAUCCUGACCAUGAAGACCCACUGGGAAAAAGUCACUGCACUAUUUCACUGGCACCUUAUGUCUCUAAGGUUUCCACUCCUGUGGCUGUAUUUGCUUGGGUGUAGGGGGUCUGCCUGCACCAAUCCAAUUAGCAGCUCGGGCCUCCUGCUCACAAGUUUCAACCUGUUGCUGCUAGAGACCAAGGCCUGCAAAUCUACAGGCAAGUGUAGCUUGAGCCCAUCCUGGAGCAGCAGCUAGCACAUCAACAUUCAUGUAGAUCCUUCAAGACCCAAUUCUGCCAUUGGCCCACAAGUCAGCCAGUUUUAAAAGAAUCCACUAUGCUCUUUGGUGGUUUGUUCUAAUGCCUAAUCCCCUUCAUGAGUACAAACUGCGCCUUAUUUAUUUGAAUUUGUCUGGCAUCAGCUUCUACCCAUCAGUUCUUGUUUUGCCUUUUUCUGCCAGCUUUAGUGCCUGCUGUUUGCCCCUGGGAAGGCAGAUUCUGUAAUCCACCAAGGCUGCAUUGGGACCCACAGGAGCACCAGGGACCCAGGCCUGUGCCUUUAAGUACAAAGCCAUCCUUCCUCAGGGUUGGGUGAAGCUGCAUAUGGAAACCCGUAGCUGCUCAGCCAUCAGACUGCUUCACCCUUAUAGAAGGGGGCCCUAAUUUGCAUUGGGCAUUACACCCAUUUGGGGUUGGUAACUUGAGUUCAAACUAAAAUCCACUCAGCUCCAUUUAUGCAUGGAACCGGUACAGACUUCUGCAGUCCUUGUGCCGAAAACUCAGCAGGAUUUCUUGUGCUGGAUGAAAAAGGCCUGUGGAAAACUAAAAAUGCUAGAGCCCUUUACCUUCAUCACGGAGGUUGUGAACGUGGUUUUGAUGGCUAGGCAAAGAAUGGCUGGAGAGGGCAGGUAGUCCAUAUGCAGCAGGGCUAGGGCUAGGGCCUCUUUCGAAUACCAAAUUUAGGGGCCCCAGGGAAGUUCAGAAAUUGACUAACAAAGAACCCUACCAGGCUCUGAGGGUUGUGUUGUGUGUGAAGACCAAGCAGUCCCAGCUGUCAGGAAAAUGCUUCUUCCUCACAGAAGGAGGUUUACCAAUGUCAGCAAACCCCUCUGUUCUUCCGAUUUACUGUCAGCAGAACACGAUUGCAGGGUGGAUGUAAGUGAACUUUUUUUCAUAAAAACGUCCAUUCUGAAAAACACUGCAGUGCAGACAUACCCUAGGGCAGGGAUAAGGAGGGAUGGAAGUCCUCGAUUUAAAGAACUAACAAGGCAGCAGCCAUGCAUAUACGGAGACAGAGUUCCCAUUAAAGGGCAUCUUGGCUCUGCCCACUCAAGAGGACAGUGUACAUGUUGCACCAGGCAUCGACUUUGUACUGGGGUCUCUCAAGUGCCUCACAUUCUAAAUCUUGCCCCAAUGAUCAACUGAAGAACAGAUCCAAAGGGAAUUUACCUGUGAGCUCUUCCCCCGGCACAGUCUGCGGCUCAUACUUAUUUCGGCAGAGUGCCUCUGUCUUGUUCUGUGCCGGGUGUUGCUGUAGCAUGAACACGCAUGCUGCUGCCCAUGGUGGGGUAGAGCGCUAGCAUCCUCAUAAGGCUCACACUCCUGGGGGCCUUUAUUACACUCAGCAUGGUGGGGAUGCAGGGUGAGGAUGACUGUGGGUGCAUUGAACCUGACAUGCAGUUCCUUAUCUGUGAUCAGUAAAGAUCCUGCACGUGGCCAGGAUGUGGAGGUUCGGCUCACAUCAAAUAUGGUGAAGAGAUCUCCCUAAAUAGCUCUCUCAGACGCUGGCUGAUAAAGUCUCCAGUGUUCAGGGUAGAUGCAAGAGCCAUGUUCCGAUCAUGCAGUCACUUAAAAGAGCUCAUGGAACUUUUUGUACAAUGUUAACUCUGGCGUAUGGGCCAAAUUCCAACUUGGAUAAUUAUAUGUUUCCAAUAAUCUAGCCCCCACCCCCCAGCUACUUCAGCUGAGAAUGGUGUUCACCCCAUCUCCAAGACUCUUGUUUGGGGUUGCUGCGCGGAGUACAGAUCACGCCCUGAGGCAAGGGAUUCAAGGUACUGUCCUGGAUGUGUAUUUCAUACUGUUUUAUUUAUCAUUUCCACUUGAACAGUCGAGUGUAACACACCCAUCCCAACUGAAGUCUAAUUAUCACAACAGCAUUGCUGCGGGAGUCAAGGCCGACGACUUGCUGGCUUUCCCUCUCGCCCGGAAGGUGGUUCCAAAGACAAACCACUAGCUCACUCCAGGUAGCAAUGCCGUUGCUUGGCGGGCAGGAGGACGUCAGCUGUGCAGCCUAUAAAUGCAAAGUCAGGAGCAAGUGUAUCCCACUAAUGCCUCUCUGUGGGCACUGAGCUGACAGAGCACUGCCCUGGCUCCAGCAACACCUAUGAGGGCAAGACAGUCCCGUUCAGGAGUCCGAGGGAAUUCUGGAGUACUCAGGUCUGAUGGUUCCUUUCUGGCUGUGGUCACAGGGGGAUUGGCUGAUUUGUCCCCAGCGCCCUGGUGAGUGGUGCUUUCCUGGUGCUGCAUGGAAAGUCUUCCCCACCCCCGGAGAAGAGGGCACUAACUGGCCCUGUGGCUCAAAGCUCAGAGCUUUGCAGACCUGCCCUCAGUAGACACCCUCAUUUUACUGUCUCUAACGCCCAGCUGUUCUUCAUCUCCUCUGUCUAGGGGGAAGUGAAUCGAUGCAAAGAGCCUGCACCUCCUCUAGGAAUCUCACAGGCUGCGGGACAGGAGAUGGAGCUAUGUGCCAGUGUGCUGCUGCCUUUGUGGUGGAGAGCAAAUAGCAGUAUAGGCCUGAAGUCCACACCAAUGGAGAGCUGCUGAGCAGACAUGUCGUGCACGCAUCCCUCUUGCCCAGCAGCCAGCCUUUUCAUGGAUCUGCACCAGCGAGAUGUAGCUGGGAGUGAUGGGGCAAAGACUGGAGACAAGAGCUCCCGCUGUUCCUACUGACUAGUGGGAAGGAUGAAUGCUCAGCACCUCUGAAGAGUAGACCUUCCUCCAUCCACCCCCCGAGCAGCCAUUUCCCUCCAAUGUGGAGAGGAGAACUCCACCCACUGCAUAGCACAGUAAUCAGGAAGCAAUACAACAUUAGCUGCCAGCUCGGUUUCUUUGUUUUUAACGCUUGCAAAUUCAGCCAUUAAAGCUACACAUUUUUCACACACCAGCAUAAUUUCAGAAAGAGGGAAAAAAAUCAAAUAAAAUGCAAUGAUAUUAAGAGCGAUUUCAACUAAAGGAAGUAAAAUUUAUACAUGAGAUCAGAGCUAUGUACAAUGAUAGGUUUGAGGGGAAAAAAUAAGCUAUCUCCCAUCAGAGUUGAAUUUUUAUUAUUUUUAUUAUUAUUAUUUUAAAUAGUUUACGCUAUCUCAGAGCUGUUAAGCACAAUCAAAGCAGGAAAAAAAACCACUGCUUAAUUUUAUUUAAUAUUUAAUCAGAAAAAUGUUAUCUACAAUAAUUGACAGAGCCCUCCCCCUCCUCCCCCCUAAAAAUUAUUGCAGCUUUUUUCCCCAAAACUGUUUUUUUUUUUGUCUUUUUAUUAUUUUUUUCCCCCAAUGUAAUAUAUACAUUGUGGCCUCUUUCAUCAGGAGGCUUUAAACACCAGCAUAAAACAUGGAAAAAAUGGUGGGUCAAAAUACUCUGUUUUUCUUUAAAACUGACAAACUCACGAUUGCUAGAAAAAGCUGAUUGUACGCACAAGCGGACUGGGGCAGAGGGGAAA